rnacentral:rRNA from 1 species
GACGAACGCUGGCGGCGUGCCUAACACAUGCAAGUCGAGCGGAGUCGAUCGACGGAAGCCUUCGGGCGGAAGAUGGUUGACUUAGCGGCGGAUGGGUGAGUAACGCGUGGGAAUUUAACUAGAGGCACGGAACAACUCAGGGAAGCUUGAGCUAAUACCGUAUAUACCCUUUAUUGGGGAAAGAUUUAUCACCUUUAGAGGAGCCCGCGUUGGAUUAGCUUGUUGGUGAGGUAAUGGCUCACCAAGGCGACGAUCCAUAGCUGGUCUGAGAGGAUGAUCAGCCACACUGGGACUGAGACACGGCCCAGACUCCUACGGGAGGCAGCAGUGGGGAAUCUUGGACAAUGGGCGCAAGCCUGAACUAGCAACGCCGCGUGUGCGAAGAAGGCCUUCGGGUUGUAAAGCACUUUUUGAGAGGAUGAGGAAGGACGGUACUCUCAGAAUAAGUCUCGGCUAACUACGUG